GCCCGACACAGAGCCGGCUCCUGCUCCAAUUGAAGUCAGCGCAAGCGCCUGUUGAUUGACUUCUGUCGCGCAGGACCGGACGGGAGGAGCACAGAAGAGACGAGGCUGUACGGGAUAGUUCUGCACCGGUCCCCAGCGGAGGCACCAGGAGGAGUUUGUUCAGAUGCAUUGAGCACUGAGCCCCCAGUGGUUCACAAUAGCCUGGACAGCAGUGGCAACCUUCUGACCUCUGAAUCUUGUACGCCACCAGAAGGAAGCCAGCAGCUGCCAGAUCAGGCUAGUGAAGUGACUCUGCUGCUCACACCAGUCCCCAAGGAGCCUUUGCUGCCAGAGCAGCUGCAGCAUGUCCUCACUCAGAGGAGCCAUUCGAUGACCCCCUGGAGGAGCAGCCUGCUGUGGAAGUAGAAGCAGAAGAGGCAAAAAUAACUCCAAUGCCUGGCCCUUCCACCUCUGCAGCUUAACCACACUCCAGCAGAAGCUUGAGAUUUCUAACGGUCAAAGAGAAAACAUUUCUGCGAUGAACUUAAGGUGGACAUCCUGGACAGGGCCAACAAGCAGGUACAGUACAAAAAGGGAAAAGAAUUCAUGGCAAGUGGAAAGGCACAGACGGGCUACAGAGUGCAAGGAGAGAACUGAAGCAGGUCAGUGGAGACUUGCAGCACAGUUUCGGGAGCAGGAACAUUGCUUGAGGGAGGAAGACAGAGUCUGGCGGAAAGACCUGUUUGAGAGGCUGCGAGGGCUAAUGGCCACAAGAGUUCAGGCUUCUGCUCCACCUGUACCACAUCCUGAGCCCUCUCCAUGGUACCAUGUCAUGCAGACUAGGAACACAUUGGACAAUACAAAAGUUGGGUGGCCCAUGCAACCAAGACUGAACACUAGUAGCUGGACAGGUCAUAUAUACCCCCAGCAGUCCUCCACCCCCAGGCAUCGUCACCAAGUUUGCACUAAAUGUGCUAGAAAGGGAGGCCCAGGGACAUGCACAAGUAGAGAAUUUAUUUGUUUGUACUGGCUUCACUGUUCAAUGUUUGUCUUAUGCACUUUAUUUUAUUAUGGAUUUUGGUGUUGGUUUAUUACUGGUGAUUGGGGGUUCUAAUGGCAGCUGGCCUGGCUGACAAUGCUUUAAUAUUGUUUGGUUGGGUUUUUUUGUAAUAGACAUGUUCACAAAUAAAAACUUUUAUAAUAAA